AUAGCUUUAAACAGACAUAUCAUGUGAGAUGCUUGAAUAGACCAUGUAUACAUACUGCUUUCAUACAGCUUGAAAAAACAGCCAGCGAGUGUGCAGAUUACCGAAGCAUGCAGUGUCGUACAGGGAAGCAUUUUAAAUCUGAUGCUGCAGAAGACAACGUGCCCAAUAUGGGACGUGAAGACAGCUCAGGGAGACUAACACAGAUAACACGUUCAUGUCACAUAACUGUGAAGCCUUGUGUCAGAGGGAGGUAAAUCAAGAAAAACUGCACUGAACAUAGACCAAGUCACAGCUGCAAGAAGAGGAGUGUCAUGGAAACUGUUUUGAAGCCAGUGGCCCUGCACUGCCGGAGUGUUGUAGCUCCCUGAAAGGCAAACUUGUCCAGCUUAGUCAAAUCUGCCCAGGGCCAUGCUGAGCAUGUACCUUCCCCGGGCACUGCACAAGGACAACAUGAUGCUGCGGACUGAGAGUAGCUGGUAAAGCAAAGACAGGUAAAGGGAGACGUGGAAAUUCA